CUCUCUCUCUCGCAUGCGCGCACACACACAAACACGCACACACACGAGGUUUGUGAAUUCAUAUACGUUUGAAAGCUUUGAGAUGCCUUAUGUAUGUUUCAGAGAUGAUACUAGGGAGGGACGAGUCUUGACAAUUGACAUCGAAAAGAAUCAGCCCACCAUCUGGAAAACUUGGUUGAAAACCUCAUAUACUCGGGCAGGGGAAAGAGCAGGGCUAUGUAAACAUCAUACAAAUAGGGCCAUGUAAACUGUUCCUAUAAUCGCUUCUAAUUAAAAGGAGGGUCCUAUUUUCGUUAUAAUAUCUGUCACUUACUAAGAGGAAGGAGACCAAGAGAUUAUCGAAAAGAGCCACUGACCGAUUCUUAGUUGAACUAGAAAAAUAAUUUCUCAGGGACUAACUUCUCAAAGAGGUCAAGUAACCCUCUCACUUUGAAUUCUACUAUAGGAGCAUAUUUUUGGUUCUUAAUUUUCCAUUUUGACCCCCUUAAAUGUUGAUUGACCCAACCCCGUGUAUUUGCCCCCACUCCAUUUUUUUGCUUAGCAUUUUUCUCUGUUAUGUAGAUCCUAAUGGUUUAUCAGGUGGCUUGGCUGUAUGGUGGAAUUCAGAUGCUAAAUUAUGUGUAGAGGAGAAAGGCCAUAACCUCAUCCAUGAAAUAUCAGCCUACUGAAUCGUGGAAUAUCUCGUUUGUUUAUGGGGGGCCUGCCAUAAAAGAUAAAGAUGGGGUUUGGGAUCAGUUGAGAGCCUUGAGCAAUUGUUUGCAUGGCCCAUGGGUGUGCUUAGGGGAUUUCAGUGAUAUCUCCUCAAUCGCGAAGAAGCAAGAUUUACUUGGCGGAAUAAUAGGAAGGAGGGAGAGACUCUUUUCGAAAGAAUCAACAGAGACCUACCAAAUCCAGAGUGGAGAGAACUCUUUCCUUUUGCUUCUGCAUUUCAUGAGCUUGCUGUUGGUUUUGCUGAUUGUCCAAUUGUCUUGGAUACAGAUCCCAAGCUGGCCAAGCUGGCUAGACCUUUCAGAUUUGAAUCCAUGUGGACAGGAGGAGUGUGGAGGUAUUAUCAAGCUUCAAUGGUCACAACUCAGGAGGGUCCUACAGGUUGGUAACACACUUCAUAUGCUUUAGAGGUUUUUUCUUUGGUACUUUUCCAUAUCUCAAAAGUGAAGUGGUUGAGUAGCGUCAUAAACUAUGAUUGUUAGGCAUUCAAAUUCUAUGUCAAUCAAGCAGAGUCUAUUGAGGAGUCCAAAGAAGAUUGAUAUUAGAGGCUGAAGCAAUCAUGGGUCAUUAACUAAAUAACACUUAUGGCUGAAUUUGGAGAACAUGCGUUGUUACUGUGAAUAUGCCAAUUCUUAUAGUCAAUUCACAAUGGGGGCCCCAUUUUUACGUAGUGUACCGUAGCAGCUAGCAUGUACACACACUCUAUAGCGAAAUGUACCAUCCGAAGUAGAUGAAUUAAGGGAGUAUUGGAGAAACCAGUUCCACAAAAGCCCCAAGGUUAAAAAGGAAAAAGUGCUCAAUUUAAGUCCAUAGAGCAUCUUUAGUUUUGAAUAGGAUUGUGCGAACACAGUUGGUUUUUUGGUUGCUAUUUUCAAAUCUUGGGUCCGCUCCUCUAAUAAAAGUUGAAAAGAUAAAAGUUCCUUGCUUGUAAAAGUUAUAUUUUGCAUGAGAUUUAAAUUUCUUGGUGUAGUUGCAAAUAACGUACUAAAUCCCAGUAAUUGAUGGGUGGUGGUGAGAUAGGUUUGCACCUAUUGGGAUUUCACUGAAGUUUGGUGAUAUCCGCAAUACGCAUGUAUUGAGAUCCAAUACUAGAAAAGUAUUAUCACAAAGAAAAAAUGAGAGUGCGCCAUCACAAAAAAGAAAAAUGAGAGUGUCACGAGAGAUUUUCAGCCAAAAACGAGCCUAUUCCACGGGAAAGAUCCAUUCUUCACUAUAUGAGAAUACAGAGUACAAGAAAAACACAUCAGGCUAAAUCAUAUAACCCAAACCCCAUGUACGCUCACUCUCACCACCCAUCAAUUUACGAUAGGAUUAUACCCACCCUGUUAUCUCAGAUGAAAAACACAUCAGGCUAAAUCAUAUAACCCAAACCCCUUGUUCGCUCACUCUCACCACCCAACAGUUUACAAUAGGACUAUACCCACCCUGUUAUCUCCGAUGAAAAACACAUGGACUCGGGUGCGAGUAUUGGCUGCGGGUGCAAGUCUAAGCGUCUGGCCUUCCAAAACUUAAAUCUUAGGAUGAUGAGAUAUGUGUCCCCAAAUUGGGUAUGGGUACAGAGACACGUCCUGAGCACUUGUUUGUAGUAUAUAUGUACCAGUGGCAGCUCCAGGAUUUCUCGAGAGGGUGUUCAAAAAAAACCCUUACAAUAUACUACCCAGUCUUUUAAAUGGUGCUUGUUGCUAGUCAAGCGGUGACCCACCGCCAAGCACCAAACCCGCCUAGGCGCCGCCGAGCAAUUCGGCAUUUUUUUUACAAAAUUCAAGAGAUUAUUUUUAAUACAAUAUGGACUGAAAUAAAAAAAAUAAAAGCGACACUGUUUAUAUAUUAAAAACUACGGUUACAAAAUUAAGUGAUCCAAUUUUCAAUCUAUUUCAACCGGUGUGAAGAUCUUAGUUUUAUGAUCAUUUUAUCCUAAAGAAGGAAUUAAAGAAGGAAAAAAAAGCAAUUAAGCCUUCCAUCUCAUGCAAAAUUGCAGCUUUUAUAGGAGCUGGAAAACACACUGCUUUAACGUAAUAAAUGCACCAAUCUAAAUUGCCAAAAAAUCUUAUUUGGUCUUUUCAUGAACUUUCAGUGAAUUAGGGUUUUUUUUUCAUAGCCAAACUUACAAAAACCCUAAUUCAUUGAAAGCCCUAAAUUAUCUCAAUUCAAGAAAAACCAAUGGAAUCAACACUAUCCAGGGCCAAUGCACACAGAACAUAAACGUGUAAAAAAACAAGGUCCGGAGAACAAAAAAGGUUGGUCCUAUACAAAAAGUUCCCAAUCCUUUGACCCAUUUACCAAAAAAUCACAACAAUGUACAAAGAAGCAUUUGAUUUAAGAAACACCAAACUAAAAGAAGGGAGAAACCAUAUUUUCUGAUCAAUCGUGCGUUUGUUAGUUCUAGGUAUAAUAAUUUGUGGGAAAGUAGAGCUGCUAGGUUUGAUAAGGCUAAGAAUGAGGAUAGCAACGUUUUGUAGAUUCAAGCUGUUAAAUUUCUCAUACUGUACACGAACACACAUACACAAUGUGUGUUUGAUCUGGUAUACCAAACCCAAAACAUAAGGGAAACUAAUAUAGAAAGAGAGUAAUACAACAAAAUUCAGACAAGUAAAGUGGAAUCAGCAACAUCCUUAGAGUUAAAUCUUAUUACAUCGCAUUCAAAACAAUCCACCACAACAACAGACUUUAGCAUCUUCAAGCCAUAACCGUCAUCCACCACAACAGACAUACAUCCGCAUCUUCUAGCCAUAACCACCAUCCAUAACAUUAGUUCUGCUCAAAGUGCCAUUUAACUAAAACAUAAACUGGAAAGAAAGUCUAACUAAAUGUCUGCAAUGAGGAAACGCCAUGGAAUAUGUCUCUAGCAUAUUAGGUCAUGGGACCGAGGGUUGUUGAACAAAUUGAACUGCCACACCAGAUAUCCUUUGAUCUGAGAAUAAAUGAAACAAGUGGAACUGUAAGUUAGCACAUUCAGUGACUGAGUUUUUAUCAAAAUCGAAACAUCACAUAUUUCGGGCUUAUCAUCUAGCCCAAGGUUAAUCAGUUAUUAGGUUCCUAAGAGAACAACCAUGUUUCUAGGGUGCAAUGAAAUUGAGUUUUCAUCAAGAUAAAAAGGCAGCACAGAUUUUUGCUUAUCAAACAACCUAAGGUUAAUCAGUUAUUAGGUCCCUAAGAGAACAACCGUGUUUCAAAAAGAGCAAUGACAAUCUUUAGAAAACUAAAUAGCUUGCUAUAAAAUGUUGGGAAAGAUACAUUGGCAAUGUUCAAUCAAACACAGUUUUUGUGGACACAAGUAUCUCUUUUUGAAGAACGUAAUUCAAAACCCAAAACCCAUCAUAAUCCUUACUAAAUUAAAGCAUAUUGAAGUGCAGUUUCAUUAUGCAUUUAUCACUAUUAUAACUUACCAAGCAUAGUAUCCUUCUGCAUUUACCCACUAACCAAAUGUGCUGGCAAUCUUGCCGAUUGAAUUUCCAAAUAGAUCAAGCAAUGCCAAGUAAAAUAAGAACUACAUGAUUCUUUUUCCAACCGAUAAGGAAGAUCAAUUGGAAAACUUGCACCCUAUGAAGUAUGAGGCACUAAGGAAGUAUGUCUAGUAUUCUAUUUAGUUUAGGCAUCGAAAAGAUUGUUACCUAUAGGUAAGACUGACGAUAGAGCUGUUUUCAUAUCUGUACCUGCAAUAAACACAAAAAGAUUUUAGAAACAAAAAACAAACUAAUUAAGGAACAAACGUCUAGGCUCAAUAUUUGUUACCUGGGUUUAUAUGAGUCUCAAAUUGUUCUUUUAGCCUCCAAAAGGCACGAAAUAAAAUUGCGCUGAUAUUGUGACUGCUGUUCAUUAUGAGAAUAAAAUGAUCCAACUUGUGGUCCCAUUGUGCCUAAAAUAUGAAAUACUAAUCAAUAAAAACAAGUAUCAACUAAUUAAUGUCAUUCUAUUUAGCAUUCAAGUUUAUUUACUGCUGUUUGGAAGAACUCUACAUCAUCACAAGGGUGGUGAUGGAGGAAGUUUCUCACACUUCCCAAUAAUGUCAUUUUGUCAUCAUGUGCUUCUUUCCACACCUUUGGCACAACAAAUAUACAUUGGUCUACCCAGGUCUCAUUCCUUCUCGCAGCCUUCCAAAUCCAAGACUUGUGGAAUUAUAUGGCUAGUUUCCUUAGGCUUUGUCUCUUCACAAUUGUUGUAUCCAUAUCACCAGUGACAUUGGGUUUAUACGCGAGAAUAUUCAUGUUACUAACAAUGCCUGGUGCAUUUGAGGAGUCAUGAAAAAAGGAUGUAGAAAAAUGUCAUCUAGAUCCCUCCUGCAAAUUAAUAAUUGCAUUAAGAUACCAAAAGGAUCUUAUUUCGCAUCUUAGUCAGUUGUUAAUGCAAUUAUUAAUUUGCAGGGGAGAUUUAGAUAGCAUUUUUCUACAUCCUUUUUUCAUGACUUCUCAAAUGCAUCAGGCAUUUGUUAGUAACAUGAAUAUUCUCGCGUAUAAAUCCAAUGUUAGUGGUGACAUGAAUACAACAAUUGUGAAGAGGCAAAGCCUAAGGAAACUAGCUAUAGAAUUCCACAAGUCUUGGAUUUGGAAGGCUGCGAGGAGGAAUGAGACCUGAGUAGACCAAUGUAUAUUUGUUGUGCCGAAGGUGUGGAAAGAAGCACAUGAUGACAAAAUAACAUUAUUGAGAAGUGUGAGAAACUUCCUCCAUCACCACCUUGAUGAUGUAAAGUUCUUCCAAACAGCGGCACAAUGGGACCAUAGGUUGGAUCAUUUUAUCCUCAUAAUAAACAACAGUCACAAUAUCAGCGCAAUUUUAUUUCGUGCCUUUUGGAGGCUAAAAGAACAAUUUGAGACUCAUGUAAACCUAGGUAACAAAUAUAUUGAGCCUAGACGUUUGUUCCUUAAUUAGUUUGUUUUUUGUUUCUAAAAUCUUUUUGUGUUCAGUGUAGGUACAGAUAUGAAAACCGCUUUAUUGUCAAUCUUACCUAUUGCUAGCAAUCUUUUCGAUGCCUAAAUUGAAGAGAAUGCUAGACAUACUUUCUUGGUGCCUCGUACUUCAUAGGGUUCCAAUUGAUCUUCCUUAUUGGUUGGAAAAAGAAUCAUGUAGUUCUUAUUUUACUUAGCAUUGCUUGAUUCAUUUGGAAAUUCAAUCGGCAAGAUUGCCAGCACAUUUGAUUCGUGGCUAAAUGCAGAAGGAUAUUGUGCUUGGUAAGUUAUAAUAGUGAUAAAUGGAACUGCACUUCAUUGUGCUUUAAUUUAGUAAGGAUUAUGAUGGGUUUUGAAUUACGUUAUUCAAAAAGCGAUACUUGUGUCCACAAAAAUUGUGUGUUUGAUUGAACCUUGCCAAUGUAUCUUUCCCAUCAUUUUAUAGCAAGCUAUUUAGUUUUCUAAAGAUUGUCAUUGCUCUUUUUGAAACACGGUUGUUCUCUCAGGGACUUGAAAACUGAUUAACCUUGGGCUGUUUAAUAAGCAAAAAUCUGUGCUGCCUUUUUUAUUUUGAUGAAAACUCAAUUUCAUUGCACCCUAGAAACAUGGUUGUUCUCUUAUGGACCUAAUAACUGAUUAACCUUGGGUUGUAUGAUAAGCCUGAAAUAUGUGCUGUUGUUUAAAAACUCAGUCACUGAAUGUGCUGACUUACAGUUCCACUUGUUUCAUUUAUUCUCAGAUCGAAGGAUAUUUGGUGUGGCAGUUCAAUCUGUUCAGCAACCCUCGGUCCCAUGACCCAAUAUGCUAGAGAUAUAUUCCAUGGCGUUUCCUCAUUGCAGACAUUUAGUUAGACUUUCUUUCCAGUUUUAGUUAAAUGGCACUUUGAGCAAAACUAAUGUUAUGGAUGAUGGUUAUGACUAGAAGAUGCGGACGUCUGAUGUGGUGGAUGAUGGUUAUGGCUUGAAGAUGUUGAAGUCUGUUGUUGUGGUGGAUUGUUUUGAAUGCGAUGUAAUAGGAUUUAACUCUAAGUAUGUUGCUGAUUCCCCUUUUCUUGUCUGGAUUUUGUUGUAUUGCUCUCAUUCUAUAUUAGUUUCCCUUAUGUUUUGGGUUUGGUAUACCAGAUCGAACACACAUUGUGUUCGUGUACAGUAUGAGAAAUUUAAUAGCUUGAAUCUACAAAUCGUUGCUAUCUUCAUUCCUCAGUGUGUAUUACAUUGCCUAUUUGUCCAUGUUCUUUCUUGUGAACGUGCUUCUAUUUUUGUUGAGGGAAUUUUUUUUUUUUGGAUGGUUUUGGUUUUGCAGUUUCGGUGAUAUAUUUUCUGGUACCUCGCAAUAAAUAGCAUGUUGUGUUAUUUGGUAUCAUCAUUAUGAUUUUGGUAUUUAUACCGCUUUUCUUAUAGUUCUCUGAAUUUGUGAAUGGUCUUUAAUCGUAAUGCUUUCAGUGUCCUAUAUUUUGCCAAAUUAAUCAUAAUGGUUAAUGGAAUAACUUUAUAAGUUUAGAAAAGAUGCAGUUGACAAAAUUGAAUUUUAAUUAUUUGCUGCUUGACUAAUGUUCCUCUAGCUUAUAGUCUGAAAUGUGCUCGUUGUUUAACCAAGUUAAGCUUGAAUUCAUCUUUUAAUCCCUCUGAGGUGAGCCUGUUACAUUUUUAUAGUCCAUAAACUAGUAACGAAAGGAAACACACACAAUAUUAGCUUAUGAUUGACUUGAGUGAUGUCUGUUUGAAAUCGAAUCACACUGAAAAAAAAAAUCAAGGUAAAUUUGACCUUUCAUAAGUUUCUAAUUUGACCAUGCUCCCAAAGUCUUCUUACUCUUGAAUUAGAGUUAGAAAGGAGCAAAAGAUGAGCAGGUAUGGCAUUCCUGCGUUGUUUUGGAUGCUUUGAUUGCUCUACUUAUUUAUACUGCUCUGAUAACUGAAAGCAAUUUAACUCAUCUGGUUGCUUGGUUUAUGAUUGGAUUGGACAUGAAUUACUCGUGUCGCGAUAAUUGUGCUUUCUGCCCAAGGAGUAACUUUGUUUGGGCGGUUGAUGCUAUUUCGUUGGCUCAGCAGAUUCGGAAGAGAUUUAUCGACCGGUAAGAACUGCAUGUUGGUUUCCUUGUUAUCAACCAUAUUGGUAUGCUUUCUUCUAUGUGAAGGUCAGUUUAUGCUAAUGGUAAUCUGACAAUAGGCUUUCCAUUGCUUUUCUCAUGUUGUCUCGUGGAAUGUCGUAUCAAAUUAGUCUUAUUCUGAAUCCUUUGUUUAAUGCUUCCAUGAGACUAGGGCUGCAAACGAGCCGAGCCGACCUCUAUAGUGUUUGAGCUCAACUAGUUUAGUAAACGAGCCUAAAACUCAAGCUCGAGCUUCGCUCGUUUAGUAAACGAGCCAAGCCUAGCCUUAACGAGCCUCUUGGUACGGGCGUCAAGCAUGUGAAGGGAAUGCUGCUUUACGGGGCUCCUGGUACGGGGAAGACUUUAAUGGCUCGCCAGAUUGGGAAAAUGUUAAAUGGGAAGGAUCCGAAGAUCGUCAAUGGGCCUGAAGUGUUAAGCAAAUUUGUUGGUGAAACUGAGAAGAAUGUAAGAUUUAUUUGCUGAUGCUGAACAGGACCAGAGAACUUGGGGGGAUCAAGGCGACUUACAUGUUAUCAUAUUUGAUGAAAUUGAUGCUAUCUGUAAGGUAUGAGCUCUCUAAGUCUUCACAUGAUAUCAGUGGCAGCACUUUUGAGAGCUUAUCUAACAACUGACAAGUCUUAUGAACAUUCACACUUCGAGAACUUAGUCAAGAGGUUCAACUAGAGAUGGUACUGGAGUUCAUGAUAGCAUUGUUAACCAGCUCCGGACAAAGAUAGAAGGUGUUGAGUCUUUGAACGAUGUGUUGCUGAUUGGGAUGACCAACAGAAAGGAUUUACUUGAUGAAG